CCCUUAGAUGUUCUGGGUCGCACGCGCGCUACACUGAUGCAUUCAACGAGCCUAGCCUUGACCGAGAGGUCCGGGUAAUCUUUGAAACUGCAUCGUGAUGGGGCUAGAUUAUUGCAAUUAUUAAUCUUCAACGAGGAAUGCCUAGUAAGCGUGAUUCAUCAAAUCGCGUUGAUUACGUCCCUGCCCUUUUUACACACCGCCCGUCGCUCCUACCGAUUGAGUGUGUUGGUGAGGAGUUCGGAUUGGCAGCAGGUGGUGGUUCGCCACCGCCUAUUGCUGAGAAGUUCUCCAAACCGCCCCACUUAGAGGAAGGAGAAGUCGUAACA
rnacentral:rRNA from 1 species